CACCGGCACAGGCCCGGCCGGCGCCAUCCGGCACCUCCGCCCGCACGGCCGGGGCGGAGCGCGGGGCCGGCCCUCGGCCACGAGGAGGAGCGGGCGGAGCGAGGUGUGGAGUGUGUCUCUCAGAGUCCAAAGCCUUUGGUUACCUUUCACAGAGUGACCCAGAGCCCACGAUGGGAUGGUUAUUGCCCAAAACACACACAGUGCAGGUUGUGGGAGCGCCCAGUUGUUGCUGACUGCUCAGUGCUGAGAUCUCUGCUCCAAGAGUAUCCAGGAAAAGGCUUCUGCUGCCGACCAUCUGCAGCUGCUGUCGGUCAGGCAUUGAUCUGACCUCUGAGGGACAAAAAUCCAUUCUGUUCCCUGCCUGGUCUUCAAGGCUUUUAAUCCUGGCAUUUAAACUGGAUUUUAUUCAAUUUUAUUUAAAUCCACUGUAUCAACACUUAAUGAACAGAAGCCCUCCCACUCUGCUCUGUGGCAUCCCAUUGUAUACCAGCUUUUUAUUCUUGUGUGUGUGCUAUACAUAUUCAUGUCCCUUAAUCUUUCAUGCUAAUGUACAUUUCCCUUUCCUAUUCUUUUUCUCUUCUUAUCAUUAAAUACCUGGAUGAUACUUAAAUGUCAGAAAAGCCCUGAGAAAUGCCA